rnacentral:rRNA from 1 species
GUGCCAGCAGCCGCGGUAAUACGGAGGAUGCGAGCGUUAUCCGGAUUUAUUGGGUUUAAAGGGUGCGUAGGUGGUUUGUUAAGUUUGUGGUGAAAGCGUGCGGCUCAACCGUACCGAGCCAUGAAAACUGGCGAACUUGAGUGCAAACGAGGUAGGCGGAAUGUGACGUGUAGCGGUGAAAUGCUUAGAUAUGUCACAGAACUCCGAUUGCGAAGGCAGCUUACCAGCAUGCUACUGACACUGAGGCACGAAAGCGUGGGUAUCAAACAGGAUUAGAUACCCUGGUAGUCC